rnacentral:rRNA from 1 species
UACGUAGGGGGCGAGCGUUGUCCGAAUUUACUGGGCGUAAAGCGCGCGUAGGCGGACCUUUAAGUCGGUGGUGAAAUUCCGAGGCUCAACCUCGGAACUGCCUCCGAAACUGGGGGUCUUGAGGUAUGGAGAGGGAAGUGGAAUUCCUGGUGUAGCGGUGAAAUGCGUAGAUAUCAGGAGGAACACCCGUGGCGAAGGCGGCUUCCUGGCCAUAAUCUGACGCUGAGGUGCGAAAGCUAGGGGAGCGAACGGG